UACGAAGGGUGCAAGCGUUACUCGGAAUUACUGGGCGUAAAGCGUGCGUAGGUGGUUUGUUAAGUCUGCUGUGAAAUCCCCGGGCUCAACCUGGGAAUGGCAGUGGAUACUGGCAAGCUAGAGUGCGGUAGGGGGUAGUGGAAUUCCCGGUGUAGCGGUGAAAUGCGUAGAGAUGCGGAGGAACACCGAUGGCGAAGGCAGCCCCCUGGGCUAGCACUGACGCUCAGGCACGAAAGCGUGGGGAGCAAACAGG
rnacentral:rRNA from 1 species